AAAAAAAAUAAGAAAAGUACACAGGUUAUUACAGCAUGAUUACGGCAAUCAAGCCGAGGCUGUUUUCUUAUUGAUCCUAAUAAUUAAUCAAUAAGCAAAGAGUAAUUCCCGGCAAACGGCUCCUGCCCCUCACCACCACCACCUCGCUCUGAAUACUACCAUCACGACCACCUUCGACACUAAUAACAACAGCAGCCACAAAUCUAUGAACAUAAACAUCAACACCCUGUUAACGCAUAACACCAUCAGCUGGUAACAAGAACAUACGAUAAAGUCAUUUGCUGCUCCCAUAUAAGUUUCAACAGUUGAGUGUAAAACUUUUUUCCAUAGAAGCCAGUCAGGUUUUGCGGUUAUUUCGAGGUUUGAAAACGAGGAAGCAUGAAAGAAUAGGAAAUUAAGAAGAAUCAUCGAAGCAAGGAGAGAAACUUAAAAACUGAAAGAAAGAGAAAUACAUACAAUAUAUUUAUAUACAGAUCGUUUUUGAAGUGAUAUAAUAAUAAUAAAAAAAAAAACUGAGAUUUGAAAUCAAAUAAAAAUACACAAACAAAACAAAAGGAAAAGAAAAGAAUUGGAAAAACACACAAAAAAAUUUUAAAUCAAAUAAGUAUUUGAAAAUGUUUCGAACUUGCAGUAUUUUCGUUCAACUCGCAACGCGACCCUUACUUUGUCCUGUCAAAAAUAAUCUGAAGCUUCAUUCAGUGACGAGAAUGUUGAAAAGGUA
rnacentral:lncRNA from 1 species